GACCUACUGCUGCCAUGGAGAAGUCAAGAUGAACCAGAGGUGAAACACCUCUGCCAGACAGCCACGUCCUGCUGCCACCUCCCUGCCAC